rnacentral:rRNA from 1 species
AUAUUGGACAAUGGGCGAAAGCCUGAUCCAGCCAUCCCGCGUGUGUGAAGAAGGUUCUCGGAUUGUAAAGCACUUUUAGUUGGGAGGAAGGGCAUUAAGUUAAUACCUUGCUGUUUUGACGUUACCGACAGAAUAACCUCCCGCCAACUUCGUUCCAGCAGCCGCGGUAAUACGAAGGGUGCAAGCGUUAAUCGGAAUUACUGGGCGUAAAGCGCGCGUAGGUGGUUUGUUAAGUUGGAAGUGAAAGCCCCGGGCUCAACCUGGGAACUGCAUUCAAAACUGGCAAGCUAGAGUAUGGCAGAGGGUAGUGGAAUUUCCUGUGUAGCGGUGGAAUGCGUAGAUAUAGGAAGGAACACCAGUGGCGAAGGCGACCACCUGGGCUAAUACUGACACUGAGGUGCGAAAGCGUGGGGAUCAAACA